GGAAAUUGAAGGGACACUGCAGGAAGGAAAUUGAAGGGGCUGGAAGGAAAUUGAAGGUCGAUUCGACCAAAAGGUAAGUCGUCUUCUUCAAUUUAGAAUUCCCAAAUCUCCUCUCCAAAAACUUUUUUGUUGUCCUGUAAGUUUUCUAAGUAAGUUGUUUAAAGUGAAGGAAAAGCAGAGCGGACUUAUUUUCAAGAAAAUUGAGGAUUUUGUGUAUCGAAUGGAAGAUCUCAAGGAGGUAAACACCUCUCCUUUCUCUCGUUCCGAAUUCCCUCUUCUGGGCACAAUUUCUACUAUGUUUAUAAGUUUCCAAGAAACGAAUGGUUUGUGCGUAUCAUCUUCUUGAGUUCUAGUAUGAUUUACAAUUGCAUAUUCGUUGCUUUGACUUCUUGUUGUGGCACUGAUUAAAUGAAAAUCGAUUGAAAUUCUUGGGAUAUAAAUUUCAUAUGUGCAAUCUAAAUUUGCUUGAAAAAAUCCGAAAAUGAAAAGUUUAUGUGAAUCAAUCAAAAAUUAUGUACUUUGACUCGUUAUCUUAAUAAGGGAGGGAAGGAGGAGUUGAAGAAGCUAUUAUCAUUUUUUAUUUCUCUAUGUUGAAAAUGCGUGAAAGAAAUGGAUGCUUCACCAUUCUUUCUUUCGAAAGAGGAUUGGGUUGGUUUGAAAAUUUCAGAAAUAUAAGCCUUCAAUGCUUAGCCAUUAGAAUAGUCAAUUAAAUGAUAAUCAUUUCAAAUUAACAUUAAGAUUGACUGUUAAACACGACGUUGUUUGCUGUAUAUGUAAUGACUUGCUCAAAAAUUGAAACAAAUGGCUAAUUCUUUCUACCUUUUUCCUUGUCAUUUAGAAGAAUGCACCAUGGCUAUCCGUGCCACAAUUUGUUUUCCUGUAAGUUUUCUGAGUAAGUUGUUUUCUAUACUGUGUUUAGUCUCUCAAAAGUAGGAGUGGACAAAUGUGCUAAUAUAGGUGUAUAAUGAACACAUAUAUCCCUUGUUUUUGAAUGUAGUGUUUGAUUUUAUUGCUCAAGUUCAUCAUUUAUGUUGGUAUUGCUCAAGUAUAUUCUAAAUGUUAUUUGGUUAUUUCUUGCGGGUUGAUUAUUGAAUUCCUUCACUUGGCUAUAUUUGAUAAUCUGAGAUAUUUUGAAUUCUACC
rnacentral:lncRNA from 1 species